UCACGAAGAACUCCGAUUGCGAAGGCAGCUUGCUGGACUGUAACUGACGCUGAGGCACGAAAGCGUGGGGAUCAAACAGGAUUAGAUACCCUGGUAGNCCACGCCGUAAACGAUGAAUGCUAGCUGUUAGCGAUAUACUGUUAGCGGCACAGAGAAAUCGUUAAGCAUUCCACCUGGGGAGUACGCCGGCAACGGUGAAACUCAAAGGAAUUGACGGGGGCCCGCACAAGCGGAGGAACAUGUGGUUUAAUUCGAUGAUACGCGAGGAACCUUACCUGGGCUUAAAUUGCAGUGGAAUAACGUGGAAACAUGUUAGCCUUCGGGCCGCUGUGAAGGUGCUGCAUGGUUGUCGUCAGCUCGUGCCGUGAGGUGUCGGCUUAAGUGCCAUAACGAGCGCAACCCUCAUCGAUAGUUACUAACAGGUUAAGCUGAGGACUCUAUCGAGACUGCCGACGUAAGUCGUGAGGAAGGUGGGGAUGACGUCAAAUCAGCACGGCCCUUACGUCCAGGGCUACACACGUGUUACAAUGGGGGGUACAAAGGGCAGCUACCUGGCGACAGGAUGCUAAUCUCAAAAACCUCUCUCAGUUCGGAUUGGAGUCUGCAACCCGACUCCAUGAAGCUGGAUUCGCUAGUAAUCGCGCAUCAGCCACGGCGCGGUGAAUACGUUCCCGGGCCUUGUACACACCGCCCGUCAAGCCAUGGGAGCCGGGGGGACCUGAAGUAUGCAACCGUAAGGAGCGUCCUAGGGUAAAACUGGUGACUGGGGCU
rnacentral:rRNA from 1 species